AUUGAACGCUGGCGGCAUGCCUUACACAUGCAAGUCGAACGGUAACAGGUCUUCGGAUGCUGACGAGUGGCGAACGGGUGAGUAAUACAUCGGAACGUGCCUAGUAGUGGGGGAUAACUACUCGAAAGAGUGGCUAAUAUCGCAUGAGAUCUACGGAUGAAAGCAGGGGAUCGCAAGACCUUGUGCUACUAGAGCGGCCGAUGGCAGAUUAGGUAGUUGGUGGGAUAAAAGCUUACCAAGCCGACGAUCUGUAGCUGGUCUGAGAGGACGAUCAGCCACACUGGGACUGAGACACGGCCCAGACUCCUACGGGAGGCAGCAGUGGGGAAUUUUGGACAAUGGGCGAAAGCCUGAUCCAGCAAUGCCGCGUGCAGGAUAAAGGCCUUCGGGUUGUAAACUGCUUUUGUACGGAACGAAAAGCCCCGGGUUAAUACCCUGGGGUCAUGACGGUACCGUAAGAAUAAGCACCGGCUAACUACGUGCCAGCAGCCGCAGUAA
rnacentral:rRNA from 1 species